CAUAUUAAACUACUGUUAAUCAAAUACUGCUCUAUAGACAAUUAAGCUCUCUGAUUCUGCUGAGCCUGUAUUUUAGUAACAUUGGUUUAAU